UAUAAUCGUCUACAUUGUAGUUAUAAUUAGGAUUACUUAUAAAUUUUCAAAAUUAUAGUGUCAAAAAAUAAGUUCUAAAUAUUUUAUUGUAUGCGUCACUAUAGUUUUUUCUUAUAAACAUGAUAAGCAAUUGUUUUAACCGUAUUUUUGAUACUAUAAACUAUUCAAAAAAAUUUAACGGAAAUUUAAUUUUCUCUACUUACAUAUACCUAAUAUUUUUCCCCUAAACACAUGAUAACACUUAAUAUUUGUGGGAUAUGACAUAUUUUAGAAUAUCCCUAAAAUACCCCCAUUUAUAUUACCCCCUCCUUUCUCUUCUUCUCUUUACUACCGAGCUCCCCACUAAGAGGGCUAAUUUUUUUCACUCAUUCUCCACUCAUUUUCUUAACUUUAUUACACUAUAAUCUACUACACUAUAAGUUAUUCUACCUAUUUUCUUUAAAAUUUGGAGGGAGCAUCAUACACGGAGCACACAUAUGCAAGCAAAGGGUAAUUUUUUUUUGUUUGUGUAAUCUUGUUUGUUGUUGUUAUAUUUAGUUUAGAAUAUUGUUUUGAUGCUUGAUCUGUGAAUUGUCUAUUAUUUUGCUAUUUUUUGUGUUAAAAUGUUUGUUGCUUGUGAAUACUGCAAUUUUCCUGGUUUCAGCAUUUUUUUUCGUCUAGCGCGAUGUGGUCCAAUGCUGGUCCGAUGGGGGGCCCGAUGCCUUGUUAAAAUAGCUAAUAGGGGUGAAGGCCCGAUGGGAUCUGAUAGGGCCCGAUAGGGGUCCGAUGGUACCCCAUAAAUUUUGUUUUUUUUUGGUUUAUUUAGGUCGAGUCUGAUGGGUGUCUGACGGGUCUGAUGGGGGUCCGAUUGUAGUGUCUGAAAUAUAGUUUUGGGGAUUUUUUUAGGCCCGAUUGGAUUGAAGUUCGAUAUGUGUCUGAUGGGUCUGAUUGGGGUGUCCGAUUAUAGUCUGAAAUAUAUUUUGGGGAUUUUUUUUAGGCCCGAUUGGAUGGGUGUCUGAUUGUGGUCCGAUUGGGGUCCAAUGGGGCCCAAAAAAUUGGUUUUUUUUUUUUUUUUUAAUUUUGGGAUUGGGCCCGAUUUUAUUUUUAUAUGUAUUGCAUUGAAAGAUUAUUUUCGGUGAGAUUUUUGUUCUAAAUUGUAAUUGUAUUUUUUUAAAUGUAUGUGACAAGCGUGUGUUAUGUAUAAUGGUGUUUGGGAGCUUGAUGGUAGAGAUUGGGUUUAUAAACCGGGCAAAAAUUUGACAUUUAACAUUGAUCUGAACGUAAGCUACUCAAGUUUGGUUGAUCUUUUGUCUGAAGAACUGGAUGUUAACAAAGUGGAGUAUGACUUAAAAUUGGAAGUAAAUUACAAGUACAUGAAAGGCUAUGAGUAUCGCCCUAAAGUUAUUAGAAAUGAUAAGCGUGCAAGGUACUUUUUAUCUACACUUGCAAAGAAGCCAGAUGAAUUUACUCCCUUGUUUGUGACUUUGUUAAAGAAGAAUGUUUGCGUCGAUCCUAGUCCCACACCAAGUUUUAUUAAGGACAAUCGUAGCGAGGUUGGGAGUUUUGUUCUAGAAACUAAUCCAGAGGUGUUGGUUGUCGAUGUAUUACCUGAAUUAAACACUAUGAUGCCGAGUGCUGAUAUUGUAGCACAAAUGCCCUUCAUUGAUGGUUUUUUUGAUGGUCCAAACCCUGAAUGUUAUGUUGAGGGCAAUGAUGACGUAAGAGACGACCAAGGUACAGAGGUCCCUACUGCUGUAGCUUUGAACUUGGCUCCAGUAUCAUACCAAAUACCACCGAGGCCACCGACACGGAAAGAAUGCCCCGUAGAGAAAAUCCCCAAACACCUGGUACUAGUAGUAGUCGUCAAGGUGAAACCAGUAAUGCUAGACGAACCACUGACAGUACAUGUCCUAAUAAUGUUAAUAAAGAGACCAAUGAUAUUAGUGGUCCUACUGAUGCUCGAGGGACCAAUGUGACGGGAUUUAGCGAUCCAUUUUCUUCUUUGAUAAGUUACGGUAAAUUCAAAGAGAAAAUGUAUACAAGAGAAGACAUCGAGGAUCAUAGUCAUUAUAUAUCUAUGGGUGGCACAGUAGGCGGGGAGUUACAUGUAGGAAAGUUUUUUAGAGACAAAGAGCAUUUAAAGAUGGUUGUUGGCUUGUAUGCAAUGAAGAAAGGGUUUGACUACUCCGUUAGGAAGUCCAGUACUGAUAUUUGGUACGUCACAUGUAAGGAUGCAGAUUGUGUGUGGAGAUUAAUAACGAAGAAGAACGUACUUUCUAACAUGUUUGAGGUGAGUACAUUUCAUAAUGUACAUACAUGUUCUCUUGAUCUUUGAGGAAAAGAUAACCGUCAAGCAUCACCUUUGAUAGUUGCCCAUCUAAUUAAGGAUAAUUGCAACUGACGGCUCGGAUCAUUUAGCCUCUGAUAUAAGGAAAAGUAUGCACAAGGAUUACGGAUCCAAUUGAGUUAUGAAAAGGUAUGGAGGUGCAGAGAGAAGGCACUACACCUAGCUCGGGGUACACCUGAAGAUUCAUACUCAAAAUCACCUAGUUACUUGCACAUGCUACAGUUGAGAAAUCCAGGUACCAUCACAGAUUUUAUGGUAGAAGAUGGUCGCUUCAAGUAUUGUUUCUUCUCUCUGGGUCCUUGUAUUCGGGGGUUUAGGUUUUGUCGACCUGUUGUAUGCGUUGAUGGGUCCUUCUUGAAGACUAGGUAUGGUGGGCAAAUGUUGUGUGCAGUGGAACUGGAUGCAGGGAUCCAUAUCUUUCCGAUAGCUUUUGCUAUAGUUGACAGUGAAAACCAAAAUUCUUGGACCUAUUUUAUGAGAAAAUUAAAAGAAACGAUUGGUGAUGUUGAGAACUUAACCUUUGUUUCGGAUAGGCAUUAAAGCAUUGUUUGUGCUUUGGAGAUCGUGUUCCCUUAUGCACACCACGGUGCAUGCUACCACCGCAUUAUUAUGAACGUCAACCACCACGGUGCAUGCUACCACCACAUUAUUAUGAACGUCAACCACAAGUUCAAGACUGACGUUUUCACAAAUCACAUUUACACGUGUGCCUACACGUAUUCAAAAUCAGAGUUUCCAAAAAAAAAAUUCAGCACAUGCAUCGGACCCCAAUCGGGGUCCCCAUCGGAGCCUAUCGGGCCAUCGUCUUCCCCAAAUCGCAUAUCUGAACCUAAAUCGAACCCUAAAUCUAACAAAACUCAUGGUGCACACAUAAACACAUACAUUAUACAUUAUAACCCUAAAAUCAAUACCUAUCAAUACUCCAAAUCAUAUAUCACACAAAAAAAUGACAAAAAAAAGGGGGGCCGAAGCUUACCUUGGACAUUUCGGUUUUGAUGGGGCCGGCGGUGUAGGCGGUAGGCAGUGAGAAGUGCUCAGUUUUGAUUUGGGAGGGGGCCAGCGUUGUAGGUGGUGGUGAGGGGCCGGCGUUGUGGGCAGUGGUGAGGGGGGUUUUGGGUCGUGUGUGGUUCGGUUGAGAGAGAGAGAGAGAGAGAGAGAGAGAGAGAGAGAGAGAGAGAGAGAGAGAGAGAGAGAGAGAGAGAGAGAGAGAGAGAGAGAGAGAGAGAGAGAGAGAGAGAGAGAGAGAGAGAGAGAGAGAGAGAGAGAGAGAGAGUUGGGGUUGAGUUAUGAGAGGGGUAUUUUUAGAUUUUAGAUAAAGUGGGCAUAUGUUUUCAAUUUUGAUAUGUAUUAGUUUAGGGAUAAAAUAUUAGGGUAUUUUAUGCAUAUUUUUUCAAAUAAAAAAAUAACUACUAAUUCUAAAAUAAAAAAAUAGAACCCUCUAAAUGUCGAAAGUACUAAUUAACAAUUUUAAUAAAUAUAGUACAACUUGGGUUCGUCUUUUUUAUAAUUUAAGCAACUUAUAUUAUAAAUGUGCAAGUAUUAAAUAUAACUAUUUUUAGCUGGUUCAGUAAACUGUAUAAGUGUUGUAUUAUAUUAAAUAAUAAGGAACAACACUGUAUUUGGAUAAAACUUUAUAUUAUAUUAAUUAUUACGACCAUAACUUUUCACAAUGUGAAUCGUAUUAUUUAAUACAUAAAAAACGAUACAUAUUAGCAUGUAUUAUAAUAUUUAGAAAGAGUUAAAGGUUGGAGACCCAGACUCCAGCUCCAGACCCAACCCCAAAUUUAGACCUUGGACCCGAACAUUGUACCCAGACCCGACCCCGGUCUUGGACUCCCUGAACCUUGGCCCCAGGCCCCAGUCCUCGGACCCCUGGUCGAAGGUCAGGGUUUUGGAAUGGGGUCUGGGUCUGGGUCUGGGCCAGGAUUUGUGGCUCAGGGCUGGAGAUGGGAUCCUUAUCCACUAACGGGGUCGAGGUUGAAGUCGAGUUUAUGGUAAAGAUAGUAUAAUUUUACACAAUAUAUUAAUAAAAGUCAAUAUCAAACAUAAUAUUGCAUUAAAUAAUAAUAAUACAAUAUAAUAUAAUUCAAUGCAAUACAAUAUUAUAAAAUUCAAUACAAUACAAUACGAUGUAUCACACAAGUCUUAAAGUAUAAAUGUGUAAUACUAUCUUAAUUUAAAUAUAAUUAGUUUUUUUAUUUAAAUCAAAUGCAUAUAUGAGAUUUUUUUUUUAAAUGCUUAAAAUCUAUGGCAAUCAUUUUUCCUUGAUAAGUUUCUUAAGGCAUUUUUUAUGGGAGUUUUUCUUCCUAUAUAUUUAUAAUACUUUAUUUGUGAUACAAUCUUUUAUUAAAUAGACUUUAGUAUUAGAUGUGAUAUUUUUGUGAAAGUAAUUUUAUUAUUUUUCUAUACAAUUAUUUGGAUUUUUAUAAAAUGAUAUAUAUAUAUAUUAAAAAUAAUAAUAUAGAAACUUAAUUAUAUGUGUAUUCAAGUAGUAUUAUUUUUCUUAACAAACUUUUAUUUUCAUUUUUUUUCCAUCCAUUUUCUUCUAUUAUUGUAUGUGUAGUUGGUUUCAUUUGAUCACGAUCUAGUGUAACUAGUUACCAUUAUAAAAAAAUAUUGGCACUUUUCAAUUACCAUUGUAAUCUAGUGGUAAGUAAUUGAUUACUGUUAUAAAUUUAGUUUAUAUAUUUAAUACUACGAUGGUGGUCGGUUACUAGCUAUCACAUUAAUAUUUAUGUUUUUAAGUAAUAUGGGGUUAAUUAUUUAUCGCUCUCAAAGCGACAAACCUAACACAAAAAAAAAAAAAUGGUAUAACUUAAACUGAUCGUAACUAGUUACUUAAGUUAAUCACGAUGGUAUACCUAAAUUUGAAUUAAAAAAAAAAUAAUCUUGAUCAUAACUAGUUACUUAACCUUAUUUGAAAAGAAAAAGACAAAAGUAGCUCUGUUGAGAAACAUGGAGUUCUAUCACAAAAUUAAUUGCUCAUGAGUGAAGUAGUCCAUAUUCUUUUAUAUAUAUAUAUAUCGCUCAAUAUUUUUAUAUUUAAUCCAUGUGGGACAAUGUUCUCUAAUAUCUCCCCUUAAAAUGGUAGUUGUUUUUGCUCAUCAAUCUUGAAUCACCUUGUUAUCCACAACAACAAAAGAGAUUUUUUAUCCCAGUUUUUACACUUGAAAAUAUAAAAAGUGCUAUAAAAACUUUUGAUCCUACUUUUACAUUUGAAACCUUAAAAAAAGUUUGGAACAAGGGUCUAGUUUGAAAAACAGACAAAAAACAGUGUUAGAAAUGCUAUUUUUAUGCAUUUGCCAAACGCAACUUACGUUUUAAAUGAGACUUUUUAUCCUGAUUUUCUACAUAAGAACCGGGAUAAAAGGUCCUCAUAAAUCUGGGUCUUUUAAUUGUUGGGCCAGCUACACAUAUAAAAUGAACAAUUAGCAUUUAGGGUUUCAUUUAUUAGGGUUACUCUCAUUCCCUCCCACCCGCCCCUCUCUUUCCUAUCUCUCUCUAAGCAGCUGCCUGCCCACAUGGAGAUCAAACAGGCUCCAUGGUGUCUCUCAGCCGCAGUCCUUCCCCCUUCCCCUGCUCUUUUAUUUUCGUACAUCACCCCAAGCCAGCGACCUUUUUCCAGCGAAGGAAGAGUCAACAGAGUUCAGAUCCGAGCUCCACACCCUUUGAAAAUUUCAGGUGUGAAGGUAUGUGGUCGACGGUGCUUCUAAUUCGUGGUUUUUCAUGGGAACGAAGCUUCGUGGUCACUGUUUGUGGUCAUUGACGAUGACUCACGGUUGUCGAAGGUGGUUCGUGACUUUUGUUGUACUGAUUAUUUGGGGUUUAAAUUUGUUUCUGUACGUAUUGUAUAUUUUACAAAAAGGUAUAUAUUGUAAAGGAAAUUUUUUAUCUCUGUAGUGGUUUGUUGCUUUGUUA